rnacentral:rRNA from 1 species
AUUGAACGCUGGCGGCAGGCCUAACACAUGCAAGUCGAACGAGUGGCGGACGGGUGAGUAAUGUCUGGGAAACUGCCUGAUGGCGGGGGAUAAUUACUGGAAACGGUAGCAAAAACCGCAUACCAACAACUGUGACCAGAGCGGAUUAGCUUGUGGGUGGGGUAACGGCACACCAAGGCGACGAUCACCAGCUGGUUUGAGAGGAUGACCAGCCACACUGGAACGAUGACACGGUCCAGACUCCGACGUGAGGAAGCAGUGGGGAAUAUUGCACAAUGGGCGCAAGCCUGAUGCAGCCAUUCCGCGUGUAUGAAGAAGGCCUUCGGGUUGUAAAGUACUUUAAGCGGGGAGGCGUUACCCGCAGAAGAAGCACCGGCUAACUCCGUGCCAGCAGCCGCGGUAAUUC